UCUUCGGUAGUAUAGUCGUUAUAUAGUAUUCCCGCGUGUCAUGCGGGUGACUGGGGUUCGAUUCUCCGCCGGGGAG